UACAGAGGGGGCAAGCGUUGUUCGGAAUUACUGGGCGUAAAGGGCGCGUAGGCGGCCUGUUAAGUCGAACGUGAAAUCCCCGGGCUCAACCCGGGAACUGCGUCCGAUACUGGCAGGCUUGAAUCCAGGAGAGGGAUGUGGAAUUCCAGGUGUAGCGGUGAAAUGCGUAGAUAUCUGGAGGAACACCGGUGGCGAAGGCGGCAUCCUGGACCGACACUGACGCUGAGGAGCGAAAGCCAGGGGAGCAAACGGG
rnacentral:rRNA from 1 species